UUCUUCGUUGUAUGUUAAAAGUGCUGCCUCCCUCUCCUUCCCGUUUUCAGACCAAACGGCCAUAGUUUCCGGCGAGCUAGCAGUCUAAACACAUCUACUCGACGAAAGGAACUUCAUCCUAGCCUUGCUUCGCGCGAUUUAAACUGUAGUCAUGUAAAAUCGGGUCUGAAAUUUUUAUUAACGAUGCAGCGUUGCUUUCCAGUGAAUUCAUGCCUUCUCCGACGAGUUUAGGCUUCGGGAUGGGUACUAGUUGAUCUCUCCCUCCUGCGCGAACAUUUUCCCUCUAUCAAUCAAGGUUUUCGGUGGAGAACGAUGAACCACCGUGAUCGGUGGCUCCUUUGGUGGCUGUCGAGGCUCAUUCCGGCCAAAUGGGCCACUGACUCGACAAAUGGACACUAAAUUCGAGUCCCCAAUGAAAUUUCGAGCAGAGUGGUGUAGGCCUCGUGAAGUUCCAGCGAUGCACGAUUUUUCGAAUAUCCGGCAAGGACUUAGAGGCAGAAUCAUCUACUCUUCAAGCUGAUCUCAAAUCUGCAAUCCAAUUUUGUGAGUUCUAAGCGUCAACACUACUUUUGUAAAAAUUCGAUUAAAGGUUAUUAAUUUAAAUUAGAUCAAAUUAGUUUAGUUAAGUGGAUUAAUAUUGAAUGAGCUUAAGUAAAUGCUAAUUUAGUUAAUUGAGUUAAUGGUUGACAUAAAACGUUGUGAAAUUAGAGUAGAAUUUGAUAUCCAUAAGUUACCAUUAUGAAUGGCACAUAUAUUACUUCUAAGGUUUGAAUGUUAUUAUUUAAUGAAUAUUAAGUUGUGAUUGAUAUAAGAUAUGCAAGGUUUGAUAGUAAUUCUAGUUAAUGAUUGAAAACAGACUUGUGAAUGACCGAGUUGCUAUUUAAAUUGUGUAAUUGAAUUGAGCAGUUAAUUAUAUAAUCAAAAUUGAUGAUGUGAAAUGAUUGGUUCUAGAUUGUGUUGAUAAUGGAAGGAGGAAGAGCUUAAUUGAUUGAUUUGCCCGACGGAUGGGCAGUGAUUAUAUGCUGACUUUCCUUGAAUUGGAAACGAGUAGAUUAUUCUAAUUAUAGGGGAGAUGCUGCCGGAUUUUCAUCAACACAUCUUCAGAUAAUUAGAUUAAUUACAUUAUUAUUUUUUUUUUUUUUAACACGAAAUUGGGCAAAGGAUAUGUGAAGUAAUGCUAUUGACUUAGAAUAAAGAAAUGAACGUGAGAAGUAUAACUUGAUAUAGUUUGAAUCAGGUAAACAGCUCCAUUUUAUGGGAGAUGCUGCCGAAUUUUCUGUAGCACAAAGUCAAAUAAUGAAAUCAGCUGAUUUUUUUUAUUUUUAUUAAUUAAUAUUUACAGAAGAUUAUUUAGUUAAAGAAUUAUAAUGAGGUUAGAUUAGCAUGUAUAACAUAUAUAGAUUAUGAUAGGAUACUUAAGAUUAGAAAACUGAGAUAGGGGAUUUAUGUCGGUCUAGAAUAUUUGGAUUAAAUGAUUGGGAAAAAAUAGAUACAAUAUUAUUAAAAAUUAGAAUUUAAAAAGGACAAUUAAAAUUCAUGAAUAGUAAACUUAUUUUGGUUCUUUCUUUAGAUAUUCUUGUAGGUCCCGAGGAAUCAAAUCUCAAAUAGCAGAGUAUCGGGAAAGGAAUAUAGCUUCUAACUAAACUGUAUAACAGUGAGUAGUAUUAGAUAAUUCCCAUCAUCCACCUGCAUUUGCAUCCAUGCAUACAUGGCUAAAUGCUAGACAUGCGUUACUUAGUAAUUUGUAUUUUGUGUUCCAUUAUUUUUUGCUAUUGGAAAUGAUUUGAUUAGUUGUGACGUGCUUCAUGUUUGUUUUGCUUGUGUGGAGUUGGGAUGAAGUGGGUCACCGUUGGGUUUGUAAGGGCGGUCUAUGAUACCGUCAGCCAUCUAUGGAGAGGUCAGCGCCCUCAUGUGCAUCUGAUAAAAUAUUGUCACGACCCAUCUUCGCGGGGCGGACCAGCCCUAGGACUGGGCAGGCUUAAGGCCUCUGAAGCCCGUAGUAAGCCUAUCUUAGUUAACCCAUAUUCUAUUACUAAUUGUGGCUUCAGGCCCAAUAACUUAUUUCACUAAUACAUCAAAAGUACAAUUCAUAUAAUUAAUUUAUGUACUCUUAUUAUUCAAUUACAAUCCAUUUGGAAUACAAUUGCGGAACUCCAUAAUUGACAGUCCUUUACAUUUACAUCAUUAUUACAAAUAUCAACAGUCUUCUAUAUUUACUAUUUCGACCCAAUUGGAUCCAUAGGACUUCUCUUUCUUCCUAUUACCUGAAAAAAAAAAAAAAAAAAAAAAAAUAGGAGGCAAGGGUGAGUGCCAACUCAGUGAGUAGGGUUAGAUAACCCUCUCACCCCACAGAAUCACACAUAUGCUAACAUAAAUCAUUUUAGUCCUUCGACUAAUUACAUGAUCAUGCGGUUUGUCACACAAAUGGCAAUACAAUAACAAUCACAAUUAUUAUCAUCUUCAUGUAAUCACAUCACGUGGAAAUUAGUCAGUGGCGUCACUAAAACCUCCGAUGAGCCGUCCUCCCACAUGGCCCAUCCUCUCAUAACGUGUGCACUGGGGAGUUGCUUCCCCAUACAUGACCGCCCGGUCUAAUCCUCACUUGACCAGCCCUCUCAUUAUUUUGCCAUUCUCUCUUUUCUUUUCCAUAUCAUCAGGAGGCCAACCUGCGGUUUUCCAUAUCAUCCAUAUCAUAUCAUCAGGUGCACACAUGUGCUCCGAUCUCCCCAUACAUGGCCGACGGUAUCGUAGACCAUCG
rnacentral:lncRNA from 1 species